GCAGGUUUGCCCGGGGAAGACUUAAGUUCUUCUGCACAUAAGUGCGCGUGGGUUCGAACCCCACAGCCUGCA